ACGGGUGAGUAACGCGUGAGUAACCUGCCUUUCGGAGGGGGACAACAGCUGGAAACGGCUGCUAAUACCGCAUAACGUAUAUUAAGGGCAUCCUUGAUAUACCAAAGAUUUAUCGCCGAAAGAUGGACUCGCGUCUGAUUAGCUAGUUGGUAGGGUAAUGGCCUACCAAGGCUUCGAUCAGUAGCCGGACUGAGAGGUUGAACGGCCACAUUGGGACUGAGAUACGGCCCAGACUCCUACGGGAGGCAGCAGUGGGGAAUAUUGGGCAAUGGGGGAAACCCUGACCCAGCAACGCCGCGUGAAGGAAGAAGGCUUUCGGGUUGUAAACUUCUUUGACGAGGGACGAAAAAAAUGACGGUACCUCGAAAACAAGCCACGGCUAACUACGUGCCAGCAGCCGCGGUAAUACGUAGGUGGCAAGCGUUGUCCGGAUUUACUGGGUGUAAAGGGCGCGUAGGCGGGACUGCAAGUCAGAUGUGAAAUGUGAGGGCUUAACCCUCAAGCUGCAUUUGAAACUGUAGUUCUUGAGUAUCGGAGAGGCAGGCGGAAUUCCAAGU
rnacentral:rRNA from 1 species